CUUUGACAAGUGGGCACUGGAUGCUGAGUAUUGAAGGCGAGGUUGUGUGUGAGGGCAUUCAGCCCAGUUUCCUGUCCGGCCUUGCCACUCUGUUUGUUGCCUAUUACUAGUUUAAUCUUGAGUAUGAGGAGAAAGAAGUUUGUACCUUGGUGUUCAUUCAAAGCGCUUUGUGGGCAUAAAUCCGGAGAGAGGAUCCAAAGCCAAGGGAAAAGUGAAAACAAAAAACAGGACAAGUGAUACAGUCAACCCACAUGUUGCCACUCUUCUGUGCCACGUAAUGGAUUUCCAAUGGAAUUUCUGAAAUUCACACUUUGAAUCCUGGGAUGGAACUUCAUCUGGAGCAUAACUGUUAUUUGGUUGAUUUUUAUCUGUUUUUGAUGGAAAGUUUGUAUGACUUGUUUUGCCAUAUUGGUCUAUUUAUUAAGUGAUGAAAGCUAUCUGAAAGCGUCAUUGUGUUUUUAAAAGGAUUAGUUCACCCAAAAAAUGAAAAUUCAGUCAAUAAUUACUUACAUCUUAA